rnacentral:lncRNA from 1 species
CCUCAGUAAAUGAGAUAAAUAAGCACUAUUCCCAUCCUCUCCUGCAUAGGUUUGGAAGCAGAGGGAUCAGGACAGCCAAGGCAUUGACAUGGGCUCUGAAGAACCUGUUGGCUGAAAAUAAUCCAAUUUAUAUUUACUGCAAGUCUAGUGUUACAAUGAACUCAGUCCAUCAAAUUACUUCUCAUCUCCAGCAGGGUGCCUUUUCUCUUGGUUAGAGGGAAUAUGAAGGGCAAAAAGAUUUCCAAAGAAGGAGGGUCUGGUAAUUCUCAACAGUGCAAAUUAGUUCUCAGCAUCUUCAAGAUGGAAAAAACACAGCUUUGUUCUUGUUCUGAUGGUGCUAACAGAAUACUUGCAAGCUACCUAUAUAAAAUGCCACAGAAUAUGCAAUGUGUCAAAAUACAUCUGGGUUUGUUAGCAUCAGCAAGGAAAGAAAACCUGUAAUAAACCAUCAAACGAGACCUGUAUCAUAAAACACCAAAUAUUCAUUUAUAGAGUAAAGUACACAGUAAGAUUUCCCAGAGCAAGAUUAAAUUAAAAUAGGAGCUUGGAUAUGGAAAGGCUGUUACCAUCCACAGUCAGGCUGAAGUAAGACAUCAUUAUGGAUGUUCAUUGACAGUAAGACCUAAAAAUCACUCCCACACUUACAUUUUUAAAUCAAUUAUCAUUCUGAUGGGACUUUCAGAGCACUUAACAGCUGCCAUCAUGUCUUUUCUGAGUGCCAGAUACUAAGAAGCAUUUUUGGGGAUUCAGCUUUCGUUGUAUUUAGAAUCCCUGCGCAGCCAAGUUCUGACAUAAGCAUAUGCCUCAGAUGAUCACAUAACCACCAAGGCUGAGAGCACCUCUGAAGACCAUCUGGUCCAACCUUUCUUCUCAAAGCAGUCACCCAGAACAGGCUGGAAUAUCCCCAACUCCACCACCCCUUUGGCCAACCCCAUGGCUGAUGCUCCAGGCCCUGAAUCACCUUUACAGCCCUUCCCUGUACCCAGCCCAAUAUGUCCAUGUCCUUCCUGUGCAGAGCCCAGAACUGGAUGCAGCACUCCUGCUGAGGUCUCACUGGCGCUGGGUAAAUGGGAACAAC